UAAACUUUGUUACUUUCUUUAACUUUGUCUCUAUUCACUUUUUAUGCUUUAUGGGCAUGUUGGUGAUUAACUUGUUUGAAAUUAUGUGUAUGGCCGUAAACUCACUGAUUCAUUGAUAUCCUGUUGUUUGUGUGGAUAGUUUUUUGGAAUGAGAUCUCUGUGUGAUGCUCAUAAAGGGAAUUGUAAUAGGAUACACGUAUAUAUGUUCUUAUUUUCUUUCAAUACUUUGGAAGGACAAAGUAUCCUAUUAUAAAACUCUUUACCUCUCACAGCCCUCUUUCAGCUUUGCUUCUUUUGCUUACAAUCACCGCAACUGUUUUCACUACACAUUAACAAUUUUCACUGCUAAUCUGUAUAGGUCUUUCUCAAUGUCAAAUUUCAAUCUCUACUUCUUUCUACUCAUCCUCCACCACAAGACCACCUUGUCACCACUAGUCUUCCAUUAUUAACCCAAGAAAAACCCAACAUUAAGAGCCCCUCUCAUUUUGAACGACCCAAUUCGGACCAACACAAUCGCACAACCACCUAUGUAUUGGGUAGUGAACUUCCACUUUUGAAAGAAUUGAGUUGAAUUUGUGGAUUUUGUCCUGAAAAAUUGUUUGUCUCAGGUCUUUACCGACCUUUGAAUACGAAUUCAAUGAGUCCGCCUUCUAUUUGGUCACUUAUUCGAAAGAAAAGUUCACCUCUUAUGGAGGCAUUCCUUGAACCGAUGCCACUCGGUGAGUCAGCCCUUAUCCAAACACUUAUUGUUGUAGACAAAGAACUCAUUGCUUCGUUUUCCGCUAAAACAGUUCAAUUUCAGAUAUUUGAUUUGGAAGGUUGAGAUCUUAGUUAUACUGUUUGAAUAUAUUUAUGAUAUGGAUUCUUGUGUUUUCCUUGCAACUGCUAAUUUAUGCUUUAAGGAGCUUUGUCUUUUAUUCUAUCAUUUAAAGGCUUUAUUAGAUUAUUGCUUCGAAUCAAGUCGGAUAUGGAUUUUACACUAGUUUUAAUGGUUGACCAUAUGAACAAUUGCAGCAAAUUAAUUAAGGUAGGAUGUAAAAUAUCUUGCAGAGGCACUGGAUGAUGAAGAACUCGCUGAACAUGCUGCGGCUGUAUUUAUAUCUCUGAUUCGGCACCCACUUGGAGCUGAAGUAGUAAAGAUGACCAUACAUCAAUUGUAGUACUGCUUGUACUGACUCAUCAUGAUUGGUCCCCAAGGGCGAUGAACAAUGCUAUUGUAGCAUUGAAAGAGUUAUUCCCAGAUUUGGUAGUGCCAGUGAUGAUCAUUGGUGGACUGCCAGCGGCCUAAAGCUCUGCUGAGUAUAGCUUCAGGGAAGGACAGAGCUAAGGUAUGUCUAGGUUUUCUAGCGGUUUGAGGCUUUGCCUGAGGAGUUGCGAGACGAAGGAUAAACCAUCUGUGUGACUUCUGUUGACUUUGAUGUAAGCCGAUGUGGAUAUCUGUGCCUAUAUUAAAUUAUAGGCACCCCCUGGGUCCUUUACUUUGUUGUUCUUCCUGUUCAAACUGCAUUUAGAACUAAACAAUAAAUAAAUAUAUGUCAGAACGUAUUUUGGCGGGACGAUGUAUGCCUGCUACACAAUUCCAACAGUUAACUGUUCUUUCUGUUUCUUGCAUAGUUUGCAACAAUAUCUCUGUGUCUAAUUCUUGCAUUUAACGCCACCACUUCUCUUUUCAAUCUCCUGCAUUUUGUGCAAGGUAGUAUCUUUCUUCUUCUCUCCCUUUUUUCUUUCUGCAUUUUUGAAGUCUGUAUUUUUUUCUUCCAUAAAUAGGUCUGCAGAUUUUUCAUGUGAACAGAAAUAUAAACUAGUUCAGAUCUAAAAGCUUUC
rnacentral:lncRNA from 1 species